rnacentral:rRNA from 1 species
ACGCGAGGAACCUUACCAGGUCUUGACAUCCUCUGACACUCCUAGAGAUAGGACGUUCCCCUUCGGGGGACAGAGUGACAGGUGGUGCAUGGUUGUCGUCAGCUCGUGUCGUGAGAUGUUGGGUUAAGUCCCGCAACGAGCGCAACCCUUGAUCUUAGUUGCCAGCAUUAAGUUGGGCACUCUAAGGUGACUGCCGGUGACAAACCGGAGGAAGGUGGGGAUGACGUCAAAUCAUCAUGCCCCUUAUGACCUGGGCUACACACGUGCUACAAUGGAUGGUACAAAGGGCUGCAAGACCGCGAGGUCAAGCCAAUCCCAUAAAACCAUUCUCAGUUCGGAUUGCAGGCUGCAACUCGCCUGCAUGAAGCCGGAAUCGCUAGUAAUCGCGGAUCAGCAUGCCGCGGUGAAUACGUUCCCGGGCCUUGUACACACCGCCCGU